rnacentral:rRNA from 1 species
AGCAGCCGCGGUAAUUCCAGCUCCAAUAGCGUAUAUUAAAGUUGCUGCAGUUAAAAAGCUCGUAGUUGAAUUUCGGGACCAUCAUGUCGGUCGUGCCUCGGUACGUACUGGCAUUGUUGGUUUCUCCCUUCUGACGAACCAUGAUGUCAUUUAUUUGGUGUCGUGGGAAAUCAGGACUGUUACUUUGAAAAAUUAGAGUGUUUAAAGUAGGCCCACGCUUGAAUACAUUAGCAUGGAAUAAUGAAAUAGGACGUUUGAUUCUAUUUUGUUGGUUUCUAGGAUCGACGUAAUGAUUAAUAGGGAUAGUUGGGGGCAUUAGUAUUCAAUUGUCAGAGGUGAAAUUCUUGGAUUUAUUGAAGACUAACUACUGCGAAAGCAUUUGCCAAGGAUGUUUUCACUAAUCAAGAACGAAAGUUAGGGGAUCGAAGACGAUCAGAUACCGUCGUAGUC